rnacentral:lncRNA from 1 species
GUGGUGACUCUCAUUCCAUUGUUCAGUCAUAAUUUAGUGACCAAGUUAGCUAAAGCCAGGUAGGGAGGUACGGGAGAGCAGAUAGGAGGAGCAAACCAUUCACCUUCCCUACCUUCUCUCUUGCACCUGCUUUCUUAGACCCUAGAUCAUCUCACCAGUGAUUUAGCUUCUGUAACAAGGCAUCAUCAGAACAAUUUUUUAAGGCAGUGAUCUUCUGGGAAUUUAUCAUUCAGAAGAUCCUUUUUUUCUACAAGAAAUGUAUCUUGACUCAGAAAAAACAAUCUGAACUCUGUAAAUUGGAAACAUCUACAGUAUUUUACCUGUGAAAUUGAUGUCCUGCUAUGAGAUGAAACUAGAAAAGGUAAGGAUACUCAACGUUUUUGUUUAUGUGUGUUUGUGAUACUGGGAUUGGACCCAGGCCCUUUGCACUGAGCUACAUCUCCAGUCCUUCUUUUAUUUCUUAUUUUGAGACAGAGUCUUGCAAAAUCACUUAACUGCCCAGGCUGGGGGACUUGCUGUCCUCUUGCCUCAGCCUCCCAGAAUGCUGAGAUUACAGGAAUGGACUACCAUGCCUGGCUCAAAGAUAUUUCCAAAAUCUCAGCCUGUUUCCUUGGCGACCGUCUAAGCUUCACUCCCUAUGAACCAAAGUGGCAUGAUUCAUCAGUAAACAGCAAGGCAGCAGCCACCCAACUUACAGACCUCCUAAAGAUUUCCUGGAGAGCAAUUCCUGCCCUGACCUGUUUCACAGGCUCUGUUGUUGUUAUUUCACAGAGCACCGCUAAAAAAAUAAUAAAAAUCCCAU